rnacentral:rRNA from 1 species
GACGAACGCUGGCGGCGUGCUUAACACAUGCAAGUCGAACGGUGAAGGGGUCUGCUUUUGUGGGCCCUGGAUGAGUGGCGAACGGGUGAGUAACACGUGAGUAACCUGCCCCCUUCUUCUGGAUAACCGCAUGAAAGUGUGGCUAAUACGGGAUAUUCUGGGUCUGUCGCAUGAUGGGUCUGGGAAAGAUUGCGCCUUUGGGUGUUUUUGGUGGGGGAUGGGCUCGCGGCCUAUCAGCUUGUGGGUGGGGUGAUGGCCUACCAAGGCGGGGACGGGUAGCCGGCCUGAGAGGGUGGACGGUCACACUGGGACUGAGACACGGCCCAGACUCCUACGGGAGGCAGCAGUGGGGAAUAUUGCACAAUGGGCGCAAGCCUGAUGCAGCGACGCCGCGUGAGGGAUGGAGGCCUUCGGGUUGUAAACCUCUUUCGCCAGUGAAGCAGGCCUGCUCCUUGUGGGUGGGUUGACGGUAGCUGGAUAAGAAGCGCCGGCUAACUACGUG